rnacentral:rRNA from 1 species
CCUACGGGGGGCAGCAGUGGGGAAUAUUGGGCAAUGGGCGCAAGCCUGACCCAGCAACGCCGCGUGAAGGAAGAAGGCUCUCGGGUUGUAAACUUCUUUUAUCAGGGACGAAGCAAGUGACGGUACCUGAAGAAAAAGCAUCGGCUAACUCCGUGCCAGCAGCCGCGGUAAUACGGAGGCUGCGAGCGUUAUCCGGAUUUAUUGGUUUUAAAGGGUGCGUAGGCGGGUUAUCAAGUCAGCGGUAAAAUCGUGGAGCUCAACUCCAUCCAGCCGUUGAAACUGAUGAUCUUGAGUGGGCGAGAAGUAUGCGGAAUGCGUGGUGUAGCGGUGAAAUGCAUAGAUAUCACGCAGAACUCCGAUUGCGAAGGCAGCAUACCGGCGCCCGACUGACGCUGAAGCACGAAAGCGUGGGUAUCGAACAGGAUUAGAUACCCCAGUAGUC